AACAAGGGGGAAAGCAAAGAGGGAGGGAGGGAACUGAGACGGUCAUCCUGAAAACUAACUUUAAAAUAGAGGAGUAGAUACCAGACACAGACUUGAGACCCCCCAGGCUGAGGAGGCACACGGAACUGAUGAACGACUGCUAAGCUUUGCACGUAUCUUGCUUUGCAUCUAGACCUCUCCAUCACUUCUCCUUCCUGUCCCACAACCGCUGGUCCUUGCCAUUCUAACUCCUGCUGACGCUCUUUCCCUGUUAAUAUUUCCCUUCUUCUUCUCCUCUACCAAACUGCAGCCACCCCAUCGAGUUCUGCUUCCUUGGUGGACCCUGGUCCAGGCAUCCGAAAAAAAACUUUAAAAAGACUUUCCCCCAUGGUCUCGGGAAGAACCUGAAGGCUCUCGGGGCGGAAUCACCGGACGAACACCUUGGAGCUGGGGAAGGAAACGGCCGUCAGGCGAUCACGCGCUCAUGCCAGCUCUAGCAAACACCAGCCAGCCAAUGUCACAGAAUCGUUACCAAACAUCUCCUGGCUUUGGCCCACAAGGAUGGCUUCUGAUUGAUUAUCCAGCCAAAUCUGAAUUUGAGAGCUCGAUGUGAGUUCUGGGGAAAUAGACCGUGUUUUGUUUAAUGCAGGAAGCAAGUAUUGCUUAUUAAAUAAAAACGGAAUGAUAUUUAGCCAGGCAUUUUCAAACAUCUUUGCCCUUUGCUCCAUGGUACAAUGAAUAACACAUACUAUUGAGCACCACUCAUAAGCAGCUUCAUUUCAUGAGAGCAAUUUAUGUUUUAUUUUAUUGCUUACUUAAAAAGCAUAGCUUUGGCUAAUAACUGCUUUCAUGGCCAUUUUGACACUGACCUGGAGAAAAAGUUGAAAAAUGUAUUUUAUUUUCACCCUCGGGCCCCCCAAGUGUGAGUUCUUUUGAUGAAAUAUAACAGGUUAAGAGCAGA